rnacentral:rRNA from 1 species
CAGCCGCCGCGGUAAUACAGAGGGUGCAAGCGUUAAUCGGAUUUACUGGGCGUAAAGCGUGCGUAGGCGGCUUCUUAAGUCGGAUGUGAAAUCCCUGAGCUUAACUUAGGAAUUGCAUUCGAUACUGGGAAGCUAGAGUAUGGGAGAGGAUGGUAGAAUUCCAGGUGUAGCGGUGAAAUGCGUAGAGAUCUGGAGGAAUACCGAUGGCGAAGGCAGCCAUCUGGCCUAAUACUGACGCUGAGGUACGAAAGCAUGGGGAGCAAACAGGAUUAGAUACCCCCGUAGUCCCUGUCUCUUAUAC